CAUGAGUACUUUAGCCUCUUUUAUGGUUUAAAUAACAGAAACUUCAGGACAGCCUGGGUGAAAUGCUCCAGCCUUAUUGGGAAAGGACACAUUUGAGUAAAAGCCAUCUUUGGAGGAGCAGCACCCUAUAGAGGCCACCCACUGGCCCCAGGAGCAAGGGCAGGCUGGAAAACUAUGUUCUGUCUGCCACCCUCUCUCAUCUGGGCCAAUAGAAGAUGACAUGUGGUGAUAGAGUAUGUAAAUAUAGACUUGAAAGUCAGGGUUGGUAUGCUUAACUUCUGUAAGUUAAAAUCUGUGCAGCUGGAGCUUGGUCAGAGGUGCAGGCUUGUCUCAAUUGAUGGCAAUCAUCUGGAUCAGCAAACUCGAUCUCUCGGCACAAUGGCAUCCCCGUGGGACUCCAAGACUAUAAUGGGCGGAGCCACAGUGCAUCCUCAGCUAUCAGCAGUACCAAUGGACUCAUUAAAAACAAGACUAGCUUUUUAUUUUCCAAACAUCUUCAAGAGUUCAAUGAAACAACCAGGAGAUGUUUGAAAAAAUGUAUUCCCAGCUGUUACUGAGAAGUACUUUCCAUCCUAAGCCGUCCUGGAUGCUGACUGGAUUUCAUAAGGUAAUCAUUCUUGUCUUUUUAGAUUCUAUCCCCAAGGACCUUCUGUU
rnacentral:lncRNA from 1 species